rnacentral:rRNA from 1 species
CCUACGGGAGGCAGCAGUGAGGAAUAUUGGUCAAUGGACGAGAGUCUGAACCAGCCACGUAGCGUGAAGGAUGACGGCCCUAUGGAUUGUAAACUUCUUUUAUAUGGGAAUAAAAUGUUCCACGUGUGGGAUUUUGUAUGUACCAUAUGAAUACGGCUCGGCUAACUCCGUGCCAGCGGCCGCGGUAAUACGGAGGGUCCGAGCGUUAUCCGGAUUUAUUGGGUUUAAAGGGAGCGUAGGUGGAUGGUUAAGUCAGUUGUGAAAGUUUGCGGCUCAACCGUAAAAUUGCAGUUGAAACUGGCAGUCUUGAGUACAGUAGAGGUAGGCGGAAUUCGUGGUGUAGCGGUGAAAUGCUUAGAUAGCACGAAGAACUCCGAUUGCGAAGGCAGUUCACUGGACUGCAACUGACAUUGAGGCUCGAAAGUGUGGGUAUCAAACAGGAUUAGAUACCCGAGUAGUC